AUUGAACGCUGGCGGCGUGCCUAACACAUGCAAGUCGAGCGGUAACAGGUGUAGCAAUACAUGCUGACGAGCGGCGGACGGGUGAGUAACGCUUGGGAAUCUGCCUAUUAGUGGGGGACAACCCGGGGAACUCGGGCUAAUACCGCAUACGCUCUACGGAGGAAAGCCGGGGACCGCAAGGCCUGGCGCUAAUAGAUGAGCCCAAGUCGGAUUAGCUAGUUGGUAGGUAAUGGCCUACCAAGGCGACGAUCCGUAACUGGUCUGAGAGGACGACCAGUCACACCGGAACUGAGACACGGUCCGGACUCCUACGGGAGGCAGCAGUGGGGAAUAUUGGACAAUGGGCGAAGCCUGAUCCAGCGACGCCGCGUGGGUGAAGAAGGCCUGCGGGUUGUAAAGCCCUUUCAGUGGGGAAGAAAAGCCUCGACCUAACACGUCGGGGUCUUGACGUAACCAUAGAAGAAGCACCGGCUAACUCUGUGCCAGCCGCCG
rnacentral:rRNA from 1 species